AAGCCUGAUCCAGCCAUGCCGCGUGAGUGAAGAAGGCCUUCGGGUUGUAAAGCUCUUUCGGCUGGGAAGAAAUCGCACAGGCUAAUACUCUGUGUGGAUGACGGUACCAGCACAAGAAGCACCGGCUAACUACGUGCCAGCAGCCGCGGUAAUACGUAGGGUGCGAGCGUUAAUCGGAAUUACUGGGCGUAAAGCGUGCGCAGGCGGUUGUGCAAGACAGAUGUGAAAUCCCCGGGCUCAACCUGGGAACUGCAUUUGUGACUGCAYGACUAGAGUACGGCAGAGGGGGGURGAAUUCCACGUGUAGCAGUGAAAUGCGUAGAGAUGUGGAGGAAYACCGAUGGCGAAGGCAGCCCCCUGGGCCGAUACUGACGCUCAUGCACGAAAGCGUGGGGAGCAAACAGGAUUAGAUACCCUGGUAGUCCACGCCCUAAACGAUGUCAACUAGUUGUUGGUAGGG
rnacentral:rRNA from 1 species